CAGGAAAAAGCUUGCUUUUUUGCUGACGACCGGCGCACGGGUGCGGAACGCGUAUGGAACCUGCCCCUAUCAGGGGAAUAGCCUUUAGAAAUGAAGAUUAAUGCCCCAUAGCAACAGUUUAUCGCAUGAUUUACUGUUUAAAGAACUUCGGAUAGGGAUGGCCAUGCGUAUCAUUAGCUAGUUGGUGAGGUAACGGCUCACCAAAGCAACGAUGAUUAGGGGCCCUGAGAGGGGGAUCCCCCACACUGGUACUGAGACACGGACCAGACUCCUACGGGAGGCAGCAGUGAGGAAUAUUGGACAAUGGCCGAAAGGUUGAUCCAGCCAUGCCGCGUGCAGGAUGACGGCCCUAUGGGUUGUAAACUGCUUUUAUACGGGAAGAAACCACCCUACGUGUAGGGUGCUGACGGUACCGUAAGAAUAAGGACCGGCUAACUCCGUGCCAGCAGCCGCGGUAAUACGGAGGGUCCGAGCGUUAUCCGGAAUCAUUGGGUUUAAAGGGUCCGUAGGCGGGCCAAUAAGUCAGGGGUGAAAGGCCACAGCUCAACUGUGGGACUGCCUUUGAUACUGUUGGUCUUGAGUUAUAGUGGGGUUGCCGGAACAUGUGGUGUAGCGGUGAAAUGCAUAGAUAUCACAUAGAACACCGAUCGCGAAGGCAGGUGACCAACUAUAUACUGACGCUGAUGGACGAAAGCGUGGGAGCGAACGGGAUUAGAUACCCCGGUAGUCCACGCCGUAAACGAUGGAUACUAGCUGUAGGGUUUUCGGACUCUGUUGCCAGCGAAAGUGAUAAGUAUCCCACCUGGGGAGUACGUUCGCAGGAAUGAAACUCAAAGGAA
rnacentral:rRNA from 1 species